rnacentral:rRNA from 1 species
GAUGAACGCUGGCGGCGUGCCUAAUACAUGCAAGUCGAGCGAACGGACGAGAAGCUUGCUUCUCUGAUGUUAGCGGCGGACGGGUGAGUAACACGUGGAUAACCUACCUAUAAGACUGGGAUAACUUCGGGAAACCGGAGCUAAUACCGGAUAAUAUUUUGAACCGCAUGGUUCAAAAGUGAAAGACGGUCUUGCUGUCACUUAUAGAUGGAUCCGCGCUGCAUUAGCUAGUUGGUAAGGUAACGGCUUACCAAGGCAACGAUGCAUAGCCGACCUGAGAGGGUGAUCGGCCACACUGGAACUGAGACACGGUCCAGACUCCUACGGGAGGCAGCAGUAGGGAAUCUUCCGCAAUGAGCGAAAGCCUGACGGAGCAACGCCGCGUGAUUGAUGAAGGUCUUCGGAUCGUAAAACUCUGUUAUUAGGGAAGAACAUAUGUGUAAGUAACUGUGCACAUCUUGACGGUACCUAAUCAGAAAGCCACGGCUAACUACGUG